rnacentral:lncRNA from 1 species
GCCGGCUCAACAACAGCGUCAGAACCUGUUUUUUUUAUUUUAGAAAAAGCCAUCAUGGUAGCUUACAUUGUUCACAAGAAGAUUAAUUGGUUUUUUUUUCGAAAAGAAGGAAUACCUCCGGCCUCUGCAUCGAUCGAUGCACACAGCCAUAUAUUAUUAAAAUCAUCCGACAUCCAAAAACAUCCAAAAUACAAGUAGC